rnacentral:rRNA from 1 species
GACGAACGCUGGCGGCGUGCUUAACACAUGCAAGUCGAACGGAAAGGCCCCUUUGGGGGUACUCGAGUGGCGCACGGGUGAGUAACACGUGAGUAACCUGCCCUUGACUUCGGGAUAACUUCAGGAAACUGGGGCUAAUACCGGAUAGGAAUCCUUGCUGCAUGGUGGGGGUUGGAAAGCUUCGGCGGUUUUGGAUGGACUCGCGGCUUAUCAGCUUGUUGGUGGGGUAGUGGCUUACCAAGGCUUUGACGGGUAGCCGGCCUGAGAGGGCGACCGGCCACAUUGGGACUGAGAUACGGCCCAGACUCCUACGGGAGGCAGCAGUGGGGAAUAUUGCACAAGGGGCGGAAGCCUGAUGCAGCAACGCCGCGUGCGGGAGGACGGCCUUCGGGUUGGAAACCGCUUUCAGCAGGGGCGAAGCUUGUGGUGACGGUACCUGCAGAAGAAGCACCGGCUAACUACGUG